CCUACGGGAGGCAGCAGUGAGGAAUAUUGGUCAAUGGCCGGAAGGCUGAACCAGCCAUGCCGCGUGAAGGGCAGGGGCAUAUGGGCGUUAAACUUCUUUUGUGCGGGAGCAAAAAUGGUCACGUGGGGCCAGACGAGAGUACCGUACGAAUAAGCAGCGGCGAACUCCGGGCCAGCAGCCGCGGUAAGACGGGGGAUGCAAGCGUUAUCCGGAUUUAUUGGGGUUAAAGGGUGCGUAGGCUGUGAGGUAAGUCAGCGGUGAAAUGCCCCCGCUCAACGGGGUGAAGUGCCAUUGAUACGGCCUUGCUGGACUGCGGCUGCCGUGGGCUGAAUGUGUGGUGUAGCGGUGCAAUGCAUAGCUCUCACCC
rnacentral:rRNA from 1 species